CAGGCCUAACACAUGCAAGUCGAACGAAGGCUUCGGCCUUAGUGGCGCACGGGUGCGUAACGCGUGGGAAUCUGCCCUUGGGUUCGGAAUAACAGCUAGAAAUGGCUGCUAAUACCGGAUGAUGACGUAAGUCCAAAGAUUUAUCGCCCAAGGAUGAGCCCGCGUAGGAUUAGCUAGUUGGUGAGGUAAAGGCUCACCAAGGCGACGAUCCUUAGCUGGUCUGAGAGGAUGAUCAGCCACACUGGGACUGAGACACGGCCCAGACUCCUACGGGAGGCAGCAGUGGGGAAUAUUGGACAAUGGGCGAAAGCCUGAUCCAGCAAUGCCGCGUGAGUGAUGAAGGCCUUAGGGUUGUAAAGCUCUUUUACCCGGGAUGAUAAUGACAGUACCGGGAGAAUAAGCUCCGGCUAGCUCCGUGCCAGCAGCCGCGGUAAU
rnacentral:rRNA from 1 species